UGGCGGUCUGAACGUCUCCGGUGAGGUCCACGUAGCUCUCCAUGAGGUCCACGCCAUCUUUGGUCAGACCCGUCAGCAGGACGCCCUCCAGGGCGGCAGCACUCACCCUUCUCGGCGGUGGCUCCCUUGUUGAGGAUCUGGAUGGCCCGGCGGAUGUCCAGGUUGAACAGAGCCACGGCGGCCGCCCGCUCCCACUCCCGCUCCUGCUCCAGG